rnacentral:rRNA from 1 species
AAAAGUUAGCGGCGGACGGGUGAGUAACACGUGGGCAACCUGCCUGUAAGACUGGGAUAACUUCGGGAAACCGGAGCUAAUACCGGAUAACCCUUUUCCUCACAUGUGGAAAAGUUGAAAGAUGGCUUCGGCUAUCACUUACAGAUGGGCCCGCGGCGCAUUAGCUAGUUGGUGAGGUAACGGCUCACCAAGGCGACGAUGCGUAGCCGACCUGAGAGGGUGAUCGGCCACACUGGGACUGAGACACGGCCCAGACUCCUACGGGAGGCAGCAGUAGGGAAUCUUCCGCAAUGGACGAAAGUCUGACGGAGCAACGCCGCGUGAGUGAUGAAGGUUUUCGGAUCGUAAAACUCUGUUGUUAGGGAAGAACAAGUACCGUUUGAAUAGGGCGGUACCUUGACGGUACCUAACCAGAAAGCCACGGCUAACUACGUGCCAGCAGCCGCGGUAAUACGUAGGUGGCAAGCGUUGUCCGGAAUUAUUGGGCGUAAAGCGCGCGCAGGCGGUUUUUUAAGUCUGAUGUGAAAGCCCCCGGCUCAACCGGGGAGGGUCAUUGGAAACUGGGAGACUUGAGUGCAGAAGAGGAGAGUGGAAUUCCACGUGUAGCGGUGAAAUGCGUAGAGAUGUGGAGGAACACCAGUGGCGAAGGCGACUCUCUGGUCUGUAACUGACGCUGAGGCGCGAAAGCGUGGGGAGCAGAACAGGAUUAGAUACCCUGGUAGUCCACGCCGUAAACGAUGAGUGCUAAGUGUUAGAGGGUUUCCGCCCUUUAGUGCUGCAGCAAACGCAUUAAGCACUCCGCCUGGGGAGUACGGCCGCAAGGCUGAAACUCAAAGGAAUUGACGGGGGCCCGCACAAGCGGUGGAGCAUGUGGUUUAAUUCGAAGCAACGCGAAGAACCUUACCAGGUCUUGACAUCCUCUGACAAUCCUAGAGAUAGGA